rnacentral:rRNA from 1 species
GACAGAGGGUGCAAACGUUGUUCGGAAUUACUGGGCGUAAAGUGCGUGUAGGCGGCUAAGUAAGUCGGGCGUGAAAUCCCACGGCUCAACCGUGGAAGUGCACUCGAAACUGCAUAGCUAGAGUCCUGGAGAGGAAGGUGGAAUGCUUGGUGUAGAGGUGAAAUUCGUAGAUAUCAAGCGGAACACCGGUGGCGAAGGCGGCCUUCUGGACAGUGACUGACGCUGAGACGCGAAAGCGUGGGGAGCGAACAGG